UGGCGGCGUGCUUAACACAUGCAAGUCGAACGAUGAACCAGGAGCUUGCUCUUGGGGAUUAGUGGCGAACGGGUGAGUAACACGUGAGUAACCUGCCCUUGACUCUGGGAUAAGCGUUGGAAACGACGUCUAAUACCGGAUACGAGCUUCCACCGCAUGGUGAGUUGCUGGAAAGAAUUUUGGUCAAGGAUGGACUCGCGGCCUAUCAGCUUGUUGGUGAGGUAACGGCUCACCAAGGCGACGACGGGUAGCCGGCCUGAGAGGGUGACCGGCCACACUGGGACUGAGACACGGCCCAGACUCCUACGGGAGGCAGCAGUGGGGAAUAUUGCACAAUGGGCGAAAGCCUGAUGCAGCAACGCCGCGUGAGGGACGACGGCCUUCGGGUUGUAAACCUCUUUUAGCAGGGAAGAAGCGAAAGUGACGGUACCUGCAGAAAAAGCACCGGCUAACUACGUGCCAGCAGCCGCGGUAAUACGUAGGGUGCAAGCGUUGUCCGGAAUUAUUGGGCGUAAAGAGCUCGUAGGCGGUUUGUCGCGUCUGCUGUGAAAUCCCGAGGCUCAACCUCGGGUCUGCAGUGGGUACGGGCAGACUAGAGUGCGGUAGGGGAGAUUGGAAUUCCUGGUGUAGCGGUGGAAUGCGCAGAUAUCAGGAGGAACACCGAUGGCGAAGGCAGAUCUCUGGGCCGCUACUGACGCUGAGGAGCGAAAGGGUGGGGAGCAAACAGGCUUAGAUACCCUGGUAGUCCACCCCGUAAACGUUGGGCGCUAGAUGUGGGGACCAUUCCACGGUUUCCGUGUCGUAGCUAACGCAUUAAGCGCCCCGC
rnacentral:rRNA from 1 species